GACAGAGGGGGCAAGCGUUGCUCGGAAUCACUGGGCGUAAAGGGCGCGUAGGCGGGAUGGCAAGUCGGUCGUGAAAUCCUUCGGCUCAACCGAAGAACGUCGGCCGAUACUGCCGUUCUUGAGGGAUGCAGAGGAGAUUGGAAUUCCCGGUGUAGCGGUGAAAUGCGCAGAUAUCAGGAAGAACACCAAUGGCGAAAGCAGCUCUCUGGGACGGUACUGACGCUGAGACGCGAAAGCGUGGGGAGCGAACAGG
rnacentral:rRNA from 1 species